rnacentral:rRNA from 1 species
UACGUAGGGCGCAAGCGUUGUCCGGAAUUAUUGGGCGUAAAGAGCUCGUAGGCGGUCUGUUACGUCCGCUGUGAAAACCCAGGGCUUAACCCUGGGCUUGCAGUGGAUACGGGCAGACUAGAGGCAGGUAGGGGAGAAUGGAAUUCCCGGUGUAGCGGUGAAAUGCGCAGAUAUCGGGAGGAACACCGGUGGCGAAGGCGUCACUCCG